GGAGGAAUAUUGGUCAAUGGACGCAAGUCUGAACCAGCCAUGCCGCGUGAAGGAUGAAGGCCUUCUGGGUUGUAAACUUCUUUUACAGGGGAAGAAAACUACGGUUUCUACUGUAGCCGACGGUACCCUAGGAAUAAGCACCGGCUAACUCCGUGCCAGCAGCCGCGGUAAUACGGAGGGUGCAAGCGUUAUCCGGAUUUACUGGGUUUAAAGGGUGUGUAGGCGGGCUUUUAAGUCAGUGGUGAAAUCU
rnacentral:rRNA from 1 species